rnacentral:rRNA from 1 species
UACGUAGGGUGCGAGCGUUAAUCGGAAUACUGGGCGUAAAGCGUGCGCAGGCGGUUCGUUGUGUCUGUGGUGAAAGCCCCGGGCUUAACCUGGGAAUGGCCAUGGAAACUGGCGAGCUGGAGUGUGGCAGAGGGGGUGGAAUUCCGCGUGUAGCAGUGAAAUGCGUAGAGAUGCGGAGGAACACCGAUGGCGAAGGCAGCCCCCUGGGCUAACACUGACGCUCAGGCACGAAAGCGUGGGGGAGCAAACAGG